UACAGAGAGUGCAAGCGUUAAUCGGAAUUACUGGGCGUAAAGCGCGCGUAGGUGGAUAGUUAAGUCAGAUGUGAAAGCCCUGGGCUUAACCCAGGAAUAGCAUCUGAUACUGGCUAUCUCGAGUGUGGUAGAGGGAAGUGGAAUUUCCGGUGUAGCGGUGAAAUGCGUAGAUAUCGGAAAGAACACCAGUGGCGAAGGCGGCUUCCUGGACCAACACUGACACUGAGGCGCGAAAGCGUGGGGAGCAAACAGG
rnacentral:rRNA from 1 species